GACAUAAUAGUUUUUACAAAGUAGUGAUUUUUCCAACUAGACAUUAUUUUCCUUUUUUUCUCGUUCCAAUUUUUUCUUUAGAUAUUGCAUGGUUGUCUUUAUUAAAUCACGCAACUUUUCCUCCAAAAAGAAACAGAAAAAAGCCCCGAAAACAUCUGUUAGUUAUCGAAAUAUGUCAAUCAAACUAAUUGCUAAUUAUUUAUUAUAUACUCUCAGACUAUCACUGUCAUAUUAUUUCAUUAUCAUUUUUUUUAAAUGAUAAAGAUAUUAUUAAAUUCUACAUAGUAUUUUAAUCGAUAUUCUACUAUCAUUUUGCUUAAUAAUAUAUUAUUAAAAGUGAAGUUAUAAAUUAUUAAUUCUGUAUGUUAAUUGAUAGCCACACUUUCUUCAUAGAAAUAAUAAAACGGCCGAUAUAUAUUAUGUAAAUGAUAAGGAAUCAACAAGGAAUUCUGUUCCUGUUCUUUUGGAAACGGUGAAUAAGUAUAGAAUAACUUAUUAAUUACUUUUAUGUUUUCAUCAAAAAGAAUAAAUUAUGAAAUAUCCAUGACGUAGCAAAGGAAAAAACCAUUCUUUCCACCUAAACACUAUUUUCUUUGUUCUCCUGUCAUUUUCCCUUGCUAUUUUUUCAUGACACCAUCUAGUAGUUGUAUCUAUACAUAGAAUAUCAGUAUGUAUUCAUUUGAAAAAUACUCUGUCUUGAAUUUUCAAACUAUUCAGACAUGUAUCCAUCAAAAUUAAUGUUGAAAUAAUAUACUGUAUAUACAAAUAAAUAUAGGAAGAGCGGAAGCUUAUGUUAACUUGCUCAAAAUAUGGUUAUUUGUCUAUUCUUUCAAUAUAGAUCUUGCUUUUCGGAACAUCCGAUGUAUGAUAAAAAUAUAUGUAAUCAAAAACUUUUUUUUUGUAACUUUAAUUUUAUAUUAGUUUAAAUAAAUAUUUUUUAUCGCUCAUUAGGAUAUUGGUCACGUAUUAAUACUAAAACAAUGAUAUUGACGCUUUCCAGAGCUAUUUUACUAAAAAAAGAAAUUAAUCCUUCAUAAGACAAUUAUGUAAUCAAGAACAAAAAUUAAAUUGUACAGAAUAUUGACUAUUAAGAAUCCGCUAUUUUAUUUUUCAAAAAAAUAUUAUUAGAACAGUAUUAUAUAAGGAACAAGAAAACAUUAAGUAAUUUAUUGAAAAACACUCUUUCUCUCUUUCUGGUAACGUCAUUGGGCGUAUUUAUUUUGGGGUUUCAAUUAUUCUUCAUCGCUCUAACACUAUAUUUGGGGUGUCAAUGACGUCAUCUAUCAUGCUAGUAAAUUUUCAGUGAGAGCUGAAAAUCAUUGCUGACUAACAUAACUCAUACCAAUGACGUCAUAAAUGUCCUGCUCACGCCGAUACCUCUUCAUAUUGCUCAGCUGUAAGAAAUCUUAUAUACUGAUAUAGAUUGCCAUUGCCAUUUUCUUUCUGUAUCAUUUCAUUUUUCGAGCAUCA
rnacentral:lncRNA from 1 species